UACAGGGGGGGCAAGCGUUGUUCGGAAUUACUGGGCGUAAAGGGCUCGUAGGCGGCCAACUAAGUCCGACGUGAAAUCCCAAGGCUUAACCUUGGAACUGCGUCGGAUACUGGUUGGCUUGAAUUCGGGAGAGGGAUGCAGAAUUCCAGGUGUAGCGGUGAAAUGCGUAGAUAUCUGGAGGAAAACCGGGGGCGAAGGCGGCAUCCUGGACCGACAUUGACGCUGAUGAGCGAAAGCUAGGGGAGCAAACGGG
rnacentral:rRNA from 1 species